rnacentral:misc_RNA from 1 species
GAUGAAGAACGCAGCGAAAUGCGAUACGUAGUGUGAAUUGCAGAAUUCAGUGAAUCAUCGAAUCUUUGAACGCACAUUGCACCUCUCGGUAUUCCGGGAGGUAUGCCUGUUCGAGCGUCAUUUGUACCCUCAAGCUCUGCUCGGUGUUGGGUGUUUGUUCCGCCUCUGUGUGUGAACUCGCCUCAAAACAAUUGGCAGCCGGCGUACUUGUUUCGGAGCGCAGCACAUUUUGCGAUCCAGAUCAACGUACAGCGGCAUCCAAGAAGCCUUAUUUAACGCUCUUGACCUCGGAUCAGGUAGGGAUACCCGCUGAACUUAAGCAUAUCAAUAAGCGGAGGA